AGUGAACGCUGGCGGCAGGCCUAACACAUGCAAGUCGAGCGGCAGCGGGUCCUUCGGGAUGCCGGCGAGCGGCGGACGGGUGAGGAAUGCAUCGGAAUCUGCCCUGUCGUGGGGGAUAACCUAGGGAAACUUAGGCUAAUACCGCAUACGACCCACGGGUGAAAGCGGGGGAUCGCAAGACCUCGCGCGAUAGGAUGAGCCGAUGUCCGAUUAGCUAGUUGGCGGGGUAAAGGCCCACCAAGGCGACGAUCGGUAGCUGGUCUGAGAGGAUGAUCAGCCACACUGGGACUGAGACACGGCCCAGACUCCUACGGGAGGCAGCAGUGGGGAAUAUUGGACAAUGGGCGCAAGCCUGAUCCAGCCAUGCCGCGUGGGUGAAGAAGGCCUUCGGGUUGUAAAGCCCUUUUGUCCGGGAAGAAAUGGUCUGGGCUAAUACCCCGGGCGGAUGACGGUACCGGAAGAAUAAGCACCGGCUAACUUCGUG
rnacentral:rRNA from 1 species